UGAGGAAUAUUGGUCAAUGGGCGAGAGCCUGAACCAGCCAAGUAGCGUGAAGGAUGACUGCCCUAUGGAUUGUAAACUUCUUUUAUAAAGGAAUAAAGUCGGGUAUGGAUACGCGUUUGCAUGUACUUUAUGAAUAAGGAUCGGCUAACUCCGUGCCAGCGGCCGCGGUAAUACGGAGGAUCCGAGCGUUAUCCGGAUUUAUUGGGUUUAAAGGGAGCGUAGAUGGAUAUUUAAGUCAGUUGUGAAAGUUUGCGGCUCAACCGUAAAAUUGCAGUUGAUACUGGCGUCCUUGAGUACGGUUGAGGCAGGCGGAAUUCGUGGUGUAGCGGUGAAAUGCUUAGAUAUCACGAAGAACCCCGAUUGCGAAGGCAGCCUGCUAAACCGCCACUGACGUUGAGGCUCGAAAGUGUGGGUAUCAAACAGGAUUAGAUACCCUGGUAGUCCACACGGUAAACGAUGGAUACUCGCUGUUGGCGAUAGACUGUCAGCGGCUUAGCGAAAGCGUUAAGUAUCCCACCUGGGGAGUACGCCGGCAACGGUGAAACUCAAAGGAAUUGACGGGGGCCCGCACAAGCGGAGGAACAUGUGGUUUAAUUCGAUGAUACGCGAGGAACCUUACCCGGGCUUGAAUUGCAGACGAAUUGCUUGGAAACAGGCAAGCCGCAAGGCGUCUGUGAAGGUGCUGCAUGGUUGUCGUCAGCUCGUGCCGUGAGGUGUCGGCUUAAGUGCCAUAACGAGCGCAACCCUCGUGUCCAGUUACUAGCAGGUUAUGCUGAGGACUCUGGACAGACUGCCAUCGUAAGAUGUGAGGAAGGUGGGGAUGACGUCAAAUCAGCACGGCCCUUACGUCCGGGGCUACACACGUGUUACAAUGGGGGGUACAGCAGGCAGCUACCGGGCGACCGGAUGCCAAUCCCGAAAGCCUCUCUCAGUUCGGACUGGAGUCUGCAACCCGACUCCACGAAGCUGGAUUCGCUAGUAAUCGCGCAUCAGCCACGGCGCGGUGAAUACGUUCCC
rnacentral:rRNA from 1 species